AUGAAUGGGGCCUUCUCCCUCAUGGUUUUCCUCAUCUCCUUCCCUAUCCUUUUUCCCCCACGUGGCCCUUUCGGGGCUCCAGGCCUCCAUCAUCUUUCUGAGCCCCAAAGGGGGGGUGUUUUUUGGGGGGGCCGGGAUGAGGGCAUCCAUGGUGGGCCUCAAGUUCGAGGUGUGCCCCCUCAGCACUGUGCUUAUCUGUAUAUAAUGUUCAUUAUCAUAUUUAUUUUAUUAAUGAGGUGGACAUCCCCUUGAUUCUAUCUAUCUUGAUAAUGAUGUCUUUUUGUUUUGUUCCGUUUUGCUCUGCUGUCUCUCCGUUUUGUCUGUGAGCCCGUCACUGGGCAGGUAAGGUCUCUAUUGCCGAAUUGUCCAUUCCAAGCAUCUAGUACAGUGCUCUGCGCCCAGUAAGCGCUCCCUAAAUACUACUGAAUGAAUGAAUGGAGCCUUCUCCCUCAUGGUUUUCCUCAUCUCCUACCCUAUCCUUUUUCCCCCACGUGGCCCUUUCGGGGCUCCAGGCCUUGAUCAUCUUUCUGAACCCCUAAAGAGGGAGUGUUUUUUGGGGGGGCCGGGAUGAGGGCAUCCAUGGUGGGCCUCGAGUUCGAUGUGUCCCCCUCACCCUCUGCUCCUCCUCUUCCCCUCAGCACUGUGUUCAUCUGUAUAUAUUUAUCACCCUAUUUAUUUUGUAAAUGAGGUGGACGCCCCCUCGACUCUAUCUUGAUAACGUUGUCUUUUUGUUUUGUUCCCCAAUUCGACUGUGAGCCCAUCAUUGGGCAGGGGCGGGUCUGUUUUUAUUGCCGAAUUGUCCAUUCCAAGCAUCUAGUACAGUGCUCUGCGCCCAGUAAGCGCUCCCUAAAUACUACUGAAUGAAUGAAUGGGGCCUUCUCCCUCAUGGUUUUCCUUAUCUCCUUCCCUAUCCUUCUCCCCCACGUGGCCCUUUCGGGGCUCCAGGCUUCGAUUAUCUUUCUGAACCCCCAAGGGGGGAUUUUUUUGGGGGGGCUGUGAUGAGGGCAUCUCUCGUGGGCCUUGAGUUCAAGGUGUGCCCCCUCAGCACUGUGCUCAUUUGUAUAUAUUAUUUAUCACCCUAUUUAUUUUGUAAAUGAGGUGGACACCCCCUCGAUUCUAUCUUGAUGAUGUCUUUUUGUUUUGUUCCGCUGUCUCCCCCGUUUCGACGGUGAGCCCGUCACUGGGCAGGGACGGUCUCUUUCUAUGGCCAAACUGUCCAUUCCAAGCGUCUAGUACAGGGCUCUGCGCCCAGUAAGCGCUCCCUAAGUACUACUGAAUGAAUGAAUGAAUGGGGCCUUCUCCCUCAUGGUUUUCUUCAUCUCCUUCCCUGUCCUUUUCCCCCCCACGUGGCCCUUUCGGGGCUCCAGGCCUCGAUCAUCUUGUUGAACCCCGAAAGGGGGGUGUUUUUGGGGGGGGGGGGCGGGACGAGGGCAUCCAU
rnacentral:lncRNA from 1 species